GUUCUGGCUUCAGCAGCAUAUAUACUAAAAUUGAAACGAAACAGAGAUUAGUAUGGCCCCUACACAAGGAUGACUUGUAAAUUCAUGAAACGCUCCAUAUAUUU
ensembl:snRNA U6 U6 spliceosomal RNA